UAAUUGUUUUGCAUGUGAAAAGAACAGACCAAAAGAGAAAACCAGAGAAUGACAUUGCAUUGCAAAGCAUUCCAACUUAUGCUACAAUUGAUUUUAAAACAAAAUCAUCAAACAGGCCUGAGACUUCUGAAUACGAAGUACCACCUUUUUAAUAAUGCUCCCACUCAUCUUUUAUCAUGUACACUAUUAGUGAUGCAAAUAAAUGUAUAUUUAAUGCUACCACUUAAAUUAAUGGAUAUUGUGUUUGUGUUAUAGCAAUAAAAAUAUUUAUGUUAGUUGAAAGACAAUAGUUUUAAGAAGUGAAAAAAAGCAAAUGGAGAAAUAACAAAAUUUUUCAUACAAAAAAGGAAGUUUUGAGCUUAAUACAUGGUCAAUAUACAAAGCUGAACUUUUAAAAUUUUUAAAAGAGCAAGGCUCAUCUUUUUUCCCCAGAGAAUGAAUUUUGGGAAUGUUUUUACUCUUGCAAUUUGUGUUAAACCACAAUGCAUAUAAAAUUAUCACUUCAAAAUGUUUGUAUACACAAGUGUAC